AGACAAAUUAUUUCUAAAAUCGCUAUUAGAAACGGCGGCUUCAAGGGUUUUAGGCACUGAAAAACCCUAGUAGUGGACUGGAGAAAUUAGUGAGAGCGUUGCCUUCGCCAGAAAGGCAGAAACUAUACGUUGUAGCUCAACGAAGCCUCUCUUCUCCCUUGCACCAAUCCGAAACAUUUGAUUUUCGGCUUCUCCGUUUCUUGAACUAUUUUGGUGGCAACGAACAUACUGUGGGGAAAUGACAUGAACUAUAUGCAUCAUCAACGCCUCGCCGUCUUGGCUCAUCGGGUACUCGUAAAGCAUGUGGUACUUGUAAACCAUGUGGUACUCGUAAACCAUUCUUUUUCUGCAACCAACAACUUCUUAUUGUAUGCAAAAUCUGAUUUUCCAAACCCUAGGAAUAAUGGGUUUUCGUUUUUUCGAGCUUUCUCAUUCGCGGCGGCCAACCGUAGGACACCGGACCCCGAUGACCCAUCCACCUUGAUGAAGGAAGAUGGGGUUGCUCUGUGCUCCCAAAUGUGGAUCGAUAAUUUUCGAGUACCGGAUGCUACUGUGACCAAUUUGACCUCUUUUCUCCGUAGAUUUGAGUUGUGGGUAUUGGCCUACCAAAAGGUUUGCGCUGAUGAGAUGGGGGCUUAUAUGCCCCGGAGUGCGAUACAAAGAUCAGCGCUUGAAGACUUGUUAGGGCUGCGCAAUGCAGUUCUUGAUUCUAGGUUUAAGUGGGGAGCUAGGUUGGAGUUCUUUAUAAAAUCUCCCAAGGACAAGACCGAGUAUGAAUCAUUGUCUAAGAGGAAAAUUAGGGCUAUUUUGACUACCACGCAGCCUGCCCCAUUUCAAGAUAAGAUAGUUCAAGAGGUUUUGUUUAUGAUUUUGGAGCCAAUUUAUGAGGCACGGUUCUCAGAGAAGUCGUUUGCAUUUAGACCUGGGAGAAAUGCUCAUUCGGUGUUGCGGGUCAUUCGCCGAAGUUUUGCCGGUUAUUUAUGGUAUAUAAAAGGGGAUUUGAGUACGAUAUUGGAUGGGAUGAAGGUGGGGUUGGUGAUAAGUGCUUUAAUGAGGGAUGUUAGAGAUAAAAAGGUGAUUGAUUUGCUGAAGGCAGCGUUAGUCACACCAGUGAUCACAAGUCAGGUUGAUGAAGGAGAGAAGAAGAAAAAGAAGAAGAGGAAGUAUCAAAAGAAGAGGGUGUUAGCAGAAGAUGAGCCAAAACCUGACCCAUAUUGGUUAGAGACCUUUUUUGGGUUUGCUCCUGAGGAGGCAGAGAAGCUUCCUUCUUGGGGGCAUUGUGGGAUUCUUAGUCCCCUUUUAGCUAAUGUAUGUCUAGAUGAACUGGAUCGUUGGAUGGAGGGUAAGAUUAAGGAGUUUUAUCGCCCGUCAAAGAGUGAUGUCAUAUGGAAUAGUCCGGAUGGGGAAGUAGAACAAGGGAAUACAUCUUGGCCAGAAUUUGUCCCUACUAGUGGCCCAGACAAAACCAGAAAAAUGGAUUAUAUAAGAUAUGGGGGUCACAUUUUGAUUGGAGUUCGAGGACCUAGAGCUGAUGCUGCAAUAUUGAGAAAGCAGUUGAUUGAGUUUUGUGAUCAGAAAUAUAUGCUUAAGCUUGACAGUGAGAGCCUUCCUAUUGAACAUAUAACUAAGGGCAUAAUGUUUCUCGAUCAUGUGUUGUGCCGGAGAGUUGUGUAUCCUACUCUUCGGUACACUGCAACUGGUGGGAAGAUCAUUAGUGAGAAGGGUGUGGGCACCCUUUUGUCUGUCACUGCAAGCUUGAAACAAUGCAUUAAGCAAUUUAGGAAGUUGAGCUUUCUUAAAGGGGAUAGGGAUCCAGAUCCACAACCUUGUUUCAGAAUGUUUCAUGCCACUCAGGCUCAUACAAAUGCUCAAAUGAAUAAGCUAUUGUCGACUAUGGUUGAGUGGUAUAGGUAUGCAGAUAACCGGAAGAAAGUUGUGAACUUCUGUUCAUACAUAAUAAGGGGAUCGCUUGCAAAGCUUUAUGCUGCAAAAUACAAGCUCCGUUCCCGAGCAAAGGUGUAUAAAAUCGGUGCACGAAAUUUGAGCCGUCCUUUGAAGGAGAAAAAAGGGCAGUCUCCGGAGUACCAUAAUUUGCUGAGGAUGGGUCUUGUGGAGUCAAUUGACGGACUUCAUUAUACCCGGAUGUCUCUUGUACCUGAGACUGAUUACUCCCCUUUCCCGAGUAAUUGGAGGCCUGAUCACGAAAAGGCUUUGCUUGAGUAUAUAAAGCUUGAUGAUUCUAAAACUCUGGAGGAGCAAAGGAGUUGUCUUAGAGAACAUGGUCUUGUUUCACCCCAGGAUUACAUUUCAAUGCUUGUUUGGAACUACAAAAGAAAUGCAAUCAUAGUGGACCAGCUUUCUGUUGGGAAGAGUGGUGUCAGUGAUGCACAAAGAGGGAAAGAAUUGCUGCUGGGAUCUACCCAUGAGAAUUAUGAUCACAGAUCCAGAGACGAGGAAGACAAGGAAGAAGGAUUUCAUGCAGCUCAAAUUUAAUAAAUACAUUUAUAUUCUGUGCUUGCCAGGCCAAUUUUAUUUUUUGUGCAAGUAGGCAUUUGUACCAGUAAGAGGGGAAGCAACCCAUGAGAACUAUGAUUGCAAAUUCAAAGAUGAGGAAAACAAGGAAGAAGGAUUUCAUGCUGAGCAAAUUUGCUCUCCAUCUUAGGAGUGACGUCAAUCAGUAAGCUGAAAUUCACUAUGCAGUGUUCCUUGAAAUGCCAGAAUCCACAUCUCCCAUCCUUGUUGUGCCUGAGGAUGCACAUGGACUCGUUGUACUCUCAAGCUCAUAUUUUUAAAACCCAGAAGCAUCCCCGCCAAGUUGAUAAAAAAAUGGGAGGAAGUUCAUCUUAUCUUGCUGCUCCAUUGUUUGCAUGUAGCUUUCAUUGCCACACCAGAGCAUCGGUCCGAAAAUUAGGGCUGCAACUUGAAUGAGUUAUAAAAACUGUAACUUGGAUCGGUAGGAUCCGAAAAUUAGGGCUGUAACUUGGAUGGAUUAUAAAAACUGUAACUUGGAUUGGUAGGAUUAGGUUGGUGGCAAAUUCAAACUCAACCCAAUAGAGGUGUUUAUCCAUGUUCAAUUGGAUCUUUUUUUUUUUUUUUUUUUUUAAAUGUAUAUAUAUAAAUUUGAAUUGUAAGUGGGAUAAAAUAUUUUUCUUUAAAAAUCUGAAAAGAUGACAAGUUAGAUUUGGAUUUGUCUAACUCAACCUUGAAAAGGCAAUGUGGGGGAAAGUUUUUCGAAUCCAAUUUUCAAAAAAUAGUUUUUAACAAUAAUUCUUAAAAAUGGCCCCAAAUAAAAUUCUAUUAAAAAAAAUUUAAAUAUAAAAAAUAAUUUUCCUUUAAAUAGGUUUCCAAAUAUUCUCUAUAUUUUCAUUUCAAAACACCAUAAAUUUAUUCUAAAAAAUAAUAUAAAUAUUUUGAAAAAAAUUUCAAAAAUUUGUUUAUUGUAAGAAAUAUUGUUAAAUGUGUUUGCAGAAUCAUAAAACUAUUUUUUUCCCUAUGUUUUCAAUAAAAAGUCAACUUUCUUUGGGUAGCAUAUGAAAAUGAAACUAUUUUUGUUAUAUUCAUCCGGUAUUGUAUGGUACAAAUUUUUCCAAAAUUUUAAGUAUUUGAUAAAGCAUAAAUCAUACCGGUUGAGACCAAAUUUUUGUUAUAGAUUCCUUAUUCUGUUUUGAAAAUUAAAGUAAAAAUAUAAUAAUAGUUUUUAUGAAUUUAUAUAUUUUUUAAUAUAUUUAUGUCUUUUAAAAUAUUUUUAAAUACUUAAUUUUUAGUUUUAUUUCAAUAAUCUCAUAUUUUUAAACCUAAAAUUUAUUUCUUGGUAUAUCAAAAUUGGAGUGGAAAAGCCCUAAUUAACCUUUUUUUAUUUUUAUUUUUUAAAUGGUUUUCAAAUGGAAUAAGUCGAUUAAAACCAGUAAAACCUCCUCAAAACCCCAGGCUCAAAUGCCCGUUCCUCGUCUCAACAGCCAUCGACGGCCGCAAUCGGAGAACAAAUCCAUUGUAAACCCUCUCAACCAAAUUCAUUGUCGAAUGGUUUCUCAUUCUCAUUUCGUCCAUUGAGGUACCUUACCCUCACUGUAAAUUAGUUCUCUGGAGGUGGGUUUUCGAGUUUUGUCUCUUUCAAAUUUUGAUUGAAUUUUUGCCUUCUGGGCUUGGUUUCCUCUUCCCAGUUGUUUCUGAUAAUUUCUUUCUAGCUCUUUCAAGCUGAACUAGGUUUUGAGGGCAUGCCAAUAAUCCUCUGAGGCUCCUUCGAGUCCAGCUGCUGGUGAAGCUUAUGAAUUGGGGUUUGGGGAUCCUAUUGCUAUAUCUGCAGAGACUGGCCUUGGUAUGGCAGAACUUUAUGAAGCUCUUAGGCCUUUGCUUGAGGAACAUAUGCUCCAGGUCUUAGAUGGUUAUGAGCAGGCAUUCUUGGAAAGAUCAGGCUGCACAACCCAAGAUCAAGUGCUUCACCCAGGUGAAGGCUCGGCCCCCAACUUUUGUUGCCUUUAUGGGUGGGAAGGCACAGCUCUCAAAUACGGACCUCAGGUUCUUGACAAAGUCUUUGAAGGAAGACUUUGAUUUGGGGGGUAUUCCCAUCAGAAUCAUGCAGCGGUCCAUUCCAAAGAAAGUAGGGGGUAUUGGCAAUACCAAAAGCACUUCAUCUGCUGGAAGAACCGCUGAAAGGAUCUCCUCUGACAAGAGAAGUGUCUUCACUUCUGAAAACGCCAAUGUAAUUACAUAGAAGGCAUUUUUGCGAAUAUGUUUUGGGCCAGUCCAUAAAGCUUAAUAAGAUGCUGAGUUUGAACUCAUUACUCAUAAUCCUAUGGUCACAAUUAGGGACUGUUCUUAAGGUCUUUGUACCGUCCAAUACCAUUGUCCUAUGUAAGAACCAUGGGAAUGAAUGUAAUGAUAGCCAUGCCCUAUUAUUUAUAUAUGCCAUCUUCAUUGGAUGCUU